rnacentral:rRNA from 1 species
UAGGGAAUCUUCGGCAAUGGACGAAAGUCUGACCGAGCAACGCCGCGUGAGUGAAGAAGGUUUUCGGAUCGUAAAACUCUGUUGUUAGAGAAGAACAAGGACGUUAGUAACUGAACGUCCCCUGACGGUAUCUAACCAGAAAGCCACGGCUAACUACGUGCCAGCAGCCGCGGUAAUACGUAGGUGGCAAGCGUUGUCCGGAUUUAUUGGGCGUAAAGCGAGCGCAGGCGGUUUCUUAAGUCUGAUGUGAAAGCCCCCGGCUCAACCGGGGAGGGUCAUUGGAAGCUGGGAGACUUGAGUGCAGAAGAGGAGAGUGGAAUUCCAUGUGUAGCGGUGAAAUGCGUAGAUAUAUGGAGGAACACCAGUGGCGAAGGCGGCUAUCUGGUCUGUAACUGACGCUGUGGCUCGAAAGAGUGGGGAGCAAACAGG